GAUGAACGCUAGCUACAGGCUUAACACAUGCAAGUCGAGGGGCAGCACGAAGUAAGCUUGCUUACUUUGGUGGCGACCGGCGCACGGGUGCGUAACAGGUGUGCAAUCUGUCCAUAAUCGGGGAAUAGCCCAGCGAAAGUUGGAUUAAUGCUCCAUGUGAGUUUUAGAGGCAUCUCUUUAAUUUGAAACGUAAGGAUUAUGGGUGAGCACGCUUCUGAUUAGGUAGUUGGUGAGGUAACGGCUCACCAAGCCGACGAUCAGUAGGGGUUCUGAGAGGAAGGUCCCCCACAUUGGAACUGAGACACGGUCCAAACUCCUACGGGAGGCAGCAGUGAGGAAUAUUGGUCAAUGGGCGCAAGCCUGAACCAGCCAAGUCGCGUGAAGGAUGAAGGUUCUAUGGAUUGUAAACUUCUUUUGUCUGAGGGUAAAAAAGCGGACGUGUCCGUUCUUGCAAGUAUCAGACGAAUAAGCAUCGGCUAACUCCGUGCCAGCCGCCGCCGUAACAC
rnacentral:rRNA from 1 species